rnacentral:snRNA from 1 species
GGACAGCAGGGCCAUCUGGCUGUCUAAGCAGGUGUCCCUUUCCUCCCUCAUGGCUCCAGGUGUGUCCUCCUCAAGCUGCAGCUCAGCUGAUGAGGAAGACUUUCCCCACAGAGUAGAGGAGUAGCAGUCUUUGGUCAAGGGUGUGCAAGCAGUUGCUGUGCUUUCCUGGUAGGACUCCAAACAAGCCCUCCAAUGUGCACUUGUGGCCACUGACCAUCUAAUUCUACUCUUCUGCUGUGGAUUUAUCGGGCAGC